rnacentral:rRNA from 1 species
UACGGGGGGGGCAAGCGUUGUUCGGAAUUACUGGGCGUACAGGGCUCGUAGGCGGCCAACUAAGUCCGACGUGAAAUCCCCAGGCUCAACCUGGGAACUGCGUCGGAUACUGGAUGGCUUGAAUUCGGGAGAGGGAUGCAGAAUUCCAGGUGUAGCGGUGAAAUGCGUAGAUAUCUGGAGGAAUACCGGUGGCGAAGGCGGCAUCCUGGACCGACAUUGACGCUGAGGAGCGAAAGCUAGGGGAGCAAACGGG